rnacentral:rRNA from 1 species
CAGUAGCCGCGGGAAUACGUAGGGUGCGAGCGUUAAUCGGAAUUACUGGGCGUAAAGCGUGCGCAGGCGGUUCGUUAAGACAGAUGUGAAAUCCCCGGGCUUAACCUGGGAACUGCAUUUGUGACUGGCGAGCUAGAGUAUGGCAGAGGGGGGUAGAAUUCCACGUGUAGCAGUGAAAUGCGUAGAGAUGUGGAGGAAUACCGAUGGCGAAGGCAGCCCCCUGGGCCAAUACUGACGCUCAUGCAUGAAAGCGUGGGGAGCAAACAGGAUUAGAUACCCCAGUAGUCCCUGUCUCUUAUAC